rnacentral:lncRNA from 1 species
UAUGUUACACGCUCCCUCCCUGCCUCUUCAACAGGGGCAGGAGCUGACCCGGAUUAGCACCGACCUUAACUCCAGGUUGGAAACACGGUGCGUUUGCGGCUUUUUUUUUUUUUUUUUUUUUUUUUAGGGUAGUGGAGGUGAAGAGGGGCUCCCCGCUAGGUCGGGUGGAAGUGAGGGAGGUGGCAGGAAGCCUUCCCUCAACGCGCCUUCACUUUAAAAGCAAGGGCGGGGGAGGAAUAGGAAAGAGGCAGAUUGGGAUUAUUGGGGUGGGGGGAGGAUUGGGGAGGGAGGAAAGGAGAGAGGGGCGAAGCGUUAGCCUGGAGCUUUGGGUCAGCUACGGAGCGAGGCAACCACUCGCGAAAAAGCCCCGAAAACACUCCGCCUGGGGGUUACCCCCGCGGCCGCCCCACGCCACGCCACGCGUGGGCGCCUGGCCGGGACAGAGCCGGGUUUGGGGUGUUGGUUUUUGUUUUUUUUUUUUUUUUUUUUUGGAGGGGGUGCAGCCCCCGGGCUCCGAGGGCAGACUCUGCUCCAGCCCUUCGAGGACGGGCCUCGGCCCCCUCGCUGCGGCACGGCUCCCACGCGGGACGCCCCACGGGUGGGUGGGAUGGGCUGGGGGAACUGGGGGGCGCGCAGCCCGGACCGCGGCGGGGGCGCGCAGCAGGCGGCGGGGGGCACCCGCGCGGCGUGGGGCAGGCGGCCGGGGACACGCGUGGGGGCGCGCUCCCCCCCUCACCCCCCCCGGCGCCCCUCGCGUCGCCUCGCCGAGGCUGUCCCCGCGCGGUUCCAAUCUCACGGCUCAUAAACCGGGAGCCGGGGGGCUCAUCAUUCACCUGCCGCAGCCUACCGGGCAGGGGAAAAAAAAGGGGAAAAAAAUAAAAAUAAAAAAUAAAAACAACGCGCUGCGAGAAACAGCCAGAAGCGGGCAGGCGGAGAGCGGCGCACCCGGGGCGUCCCCGCUGUGCGUGGGCUCCGCACCAUCCUGCAUCACCCCGCAUCACCCCGCACCGCCCCGCACCCCCCCGCCGCCGCUGCCUGGCGAGGCCGAGCAAAGCCGCGAUGGGGCUUAAACCGGGCGCGGGGACAAUGUUGCGGAGGGAAAGAAUAAAACCUCGGGGACGAGAGGAGGGCGGCCUCCC